rfam:Suillus luteus TH-Slu-Lm8-n1 unplaced genomic scaffold CY34scaffold_2, whole genome shotgun sequence.
UGCCCCAUGGCUGAGUUGGUUACAGCGUCCGACUGUUACGAAUCGUUUCAUCGGAAGGUCGUGAGUUCGAGCCUCACUGGGGCAG